UACGGAGGGUGCAAGCGUUAUCCGGAUUCACUGGGUUUAAAGGGUGCGUAGGUGGGCAGGUAAGUCAGUGGUGAAAUCUCCGGGCUUAACCCGGAAACUGCCGUUGAUACUAUCUGUCUUGAAUAUAGUGGAGGUGAGCGGAAUAUGUCAUGUAGCGGUGAAAUGCUUAGAUAUGACAUAGAACACCAAUUGCGAAGGCAGCUCGUUACACGAAUAUUGACUCUGAGGCACGAAAGCGUGGGGAUCAAACAGG
rnacentral:rRNA from 1 species